GACGAACGCUGGCGGCGUGCUUAACACAUGCAAGUCGAACGGAAAGGCCCUGCUUUUGUGGGGUGCUCGAGUGGCGAACGGGUGAGUAACACGUGAGUAACCUGCCCUUGACUUUGGGAUAACUUCAGGAAACUGGGGCUAAUACCGGAUAGGAGCUCCUGCUGCAUGGGGGGGGUUGGAAAGUUUCGGCGGUUGGGGAUGGACUCGCGGCUUAUCAGCUUGUUGGUGGGGUAGUGGCUUACCAAGGCUUUGACGGGUAGCCGGCCUGGGAGGGUGACCGGCCACAUUGGGACUGGGGUACGGCCCAGAGUCCUACGGGGGGCAGCAGUGGGGAAUAUUGCACAAUGGGCCGAAGCCGGAUGCAGCAACGCCGCGUGCUGGAUGACGGCCUUCGGGUUGUAAACCGCUUUCGCCUGUGACGAAGCGUGAGUGACGGUAAUGGGUAAAGAAGCACCGGCUAACUACGUG
rnacentral:rRNA from 1 species